rnacentral:rRNA from 1 species
CCUACGGGGGGCAGCAGUGAGGAAUAUUGGUCAAUGGGCGCGAGCCUGAACCAGCCAAGUAGCGUGAAGGAUGAAGGCCCUACGGGUUGUAAACUUCUUUUAUAAAGGAAUAAAGUGAGGCACGUGUGCCUUUUUGUAUGUACGUUAUGAAUAAGGAUCGGCUAACUCCGUGCCAGCAGCCGCGGUAAUACGGAGGAUCCGAGCGUUAUCCGGAUUUAUUGGGUUUAAAGGGAGCGUAGAUGGGUUGUUAAGUCAGUUGUGAAAGUCUGCGGCUCAACCGGAAAAUUGCAAUUGAUACUGGCAGUCUUGAGUACAGUGGAGGUAGGCGGAAUUCGUGGUGUAGCGGUGAAAUGCUUAGAUAUCACGAAGAACUCCGAUUGCGAAGGCAGCUUACUAAACUGCCACUGACACUGAGGCUCGAAAGCGUGGGUAGCAAACAGGAUUAGAUACCCCAGUAGUC